rnacentral:rRNA from 1 species
CACGUAGGGGGCAAGCGUUGUCCGGAUUUAUUGGGCGUAAAGAGCUCGUAGGCGGCUUGUCACGUCGGGUGUGAAAGCCCGGGGCUUAACCCCGGGUCUGCAUUCGAUACGGGCUAGCUAGAGUGUGGUAGGGGAGAUCGGAAUUCCCGGUGUAGAGGUGAAAUUCGUAGAUAUCGGGAGGAACACCGGUGGCGAAGGCGGCGAUCUGGGUAGAUACUGACGCUGAGGUGCGAAAGCGUGGGGAGCAAACAGG